UUGUUUAAUUUCUUAUUAGUUGGUAGUGACACAUUCGAUUAUAUGAUUACUAUAUGUACAGUAAAUUACAUAAAUAAAACCAUUCGAUCUUAUCAAAAGAAGCAA